CCUACGGGGGGCAGCAGUCGGGAAUAUUGCGCAAUGGAGGAAACUCUGACGCAGUGACGCCGCGUAUAGGAAGAAGCGCCUCGGCGCGUAAAGCCCUGUCAGCAGGGAAGAAAAUGACGGUACCUGAAGAAGAAGCCCCGGCUAACUACGUGCCAGCAGCCGCGGUAAUACGUAGGGGGCAAGCGUUAUCCGGAUUUACUGGGUGUAGAGGGGGCGCAGACGGCGAUGUAAGCCAGGAGUGAAAGCCCGGGGCCCACCCCCGGGACAGCUCUUGGAACUGCGUGGCUGGAGUGCAGGAGG
rnacentral:rRNA from 1 species